GUCACUUUGGCGGAGUGGUUAACGCGCUGCCCUGCUAGCUGAUUCAGUAGUUUAGGCAGUUCCUUCGGGAGCACAGGUUCGAAUCCUGUAGGUGACG